GCUGUUGAAUUGCUACUGGAGUUAGCGACACUAGUUCUCCCUUCUCCACUGGUCCAUGCAGAAAUCUCAACAGUGACAAUCUAAUGAAUCACGGCCUCUGAAGAAGGGUCUCGAC